UCCUACGGGAGGCAGCAGUGAGGAAUAUUGGUCAAUGGGCGCAAGCCUGAACCAGCCACGUCGCGUGAAGGAAGACGGCCCUACGGGUUGUAAACUUCUUUUGUAAGGGAAUAAAGUGUAGUACGUGUACUAUUUUGCAUGUACCUUACGAAUAAGGAUCGGCUAACUCCGUGCCAGCAGCCGCGGUAAUACGGAGGAUCCGAGCGUUAUCCGGAUUUAUUGGGUUUAAAGGGUGCGCAGGCGGGAGAUUAAGUCGGCGGUGAAAUUUUGCAGCUUAACUGUAAAAGUGCCUUCGAAACUGGUUUCCUUGAGUGUGGAUGAAGUAGGCGGAAUUUGUGGUGUAGCGGUGAAAUGCAUAGAUAUCACGAGGAACUCCGAUUGCGCAGGCAGCUUACUAAACUACUACUGACGCUCAUGCACGAAGGCGUGGGGAUCAAACAGGAUUAGAUACCCUGGUAGUCCACGCAGUAAACGAUGAUUACUCGCUGUUUGCGAUAUACUGUAAGCGGCUUAGCGAAAGCGUUAAGUAAUCCACCUGGGGAGUACGUUCGCAAGAAUGAAACUCAAAGGAAUUGACGGGGGCCCGCACAAGCGGAGGAACAUGUGGUUUAAUUCGAUGAUACGCGAGGAACCUUACCCGGGCUUGAAAUGCAUCUGACGUGGGCAGAGACGCCCAUUCCCCUCGGGGCAGAUGUGUAGGUGCUGCAUGGUUGUCGUCAGCUCGUGCCGUGAGGUGUCGGCUUAAGUGCCAUAACGAGCGCAACCCUCAUCAUUAGUUACCAUCAGGUGAAGCUGGGGACUCUAAUGAGACUGCCAUCGUAAGAUGCGAGGAAGGUGGGGAUGACGUCAAAUCAGCACGGCCCUUACGUCCGGGGCGACACACGUGUUACAAUGGGUGGUACAAAGGGCAGCUACAUGGCGACAUGAUGCUAAUCUCCAAAACCGCUCUCAGUUCGGAUCGGAGUCUGCAACUCGACUCCGUGAAGCUGGAUUCGCUAGUAAUCGCGCAUCAGCCACGGCGCGGUGAAUACGUUCCCGGGCCUUGUACACACCGCCCGUCAAGCCAUGGAAGCCGGGGGUACCUGAAGUCCGUAACCGUCAAGGAGCGGCCUAGGGUAAAACUGGUAACUGGGGCUAAGUCGUAACAAGGUAGCCGUACCGGAAGGUGCGGCUG
rnacentral:rRNA from 1 species